AGAGUUUGAUCCUGGCUCAGAAUGAACGUUGGCGGCGUGGAUUAGGCAUGCAAGUCGCGCGUGUACCCGCAAGGGGAAAGCGGCGUAAGGGACAGUAACACGUAGAUUACCUACCCCCGGAUUCGGGAUAGCUGCGGGAAACUGCAGGUAAUACCGAAUAACGUCUCCGGACCAAAGGUGUGAUUCCGUCCGGGGAUGGGUCUGCGUCCUAUUAGCUAGUUGGUGAGGUAACGGCUCACCAAGGCAAUGAUGGGUAGUGGGUGUGAGAGCACGACCCGCGUCACUGGGACUGAGACACUGCCCAGACACCUACGGGUGGCUGCAGUCGAGGAUCUUCGGCAAUGGGCGCAAGCCUGACCGAGCGACGCCGCGUGCGGGAUGAAGGCCUUCGGGUUGUAAACCGCUGUCAGUGGGGAGGAAAUGCUGGUGGGUACUCCCAUCAGUUUGACCUAUCCGCAGAGGAAGUGUGGGCUAAGUUCGUGCCAGCAGCCGCGGUAAGACGAACCACACGAACGUUAUUCGGAAUCACUGGGCUUAAAGGGUGCGUAGGCUGCGCAGAAAGUUGGGUGUGAAAUCCCUCGGCUCAACCGAGGAACUGCGCCCAAAACUACUGUGCUCGAGGGAGAUAGAGGUGAGCGGAACUUAGGGUGGAGCGGUGAAAUGCGUUGAUAUCCUAAGGAACACCCGUGGCGAAAGCGGCUCACUGGAUCUCUUCUGACGCUGAGGCACGAAAGCUAGGGUAGCGAACGGGAUUAGAUACCCCAGUAGUCC
rnacentral:rRNA from 1 species